GGUGGUAAAAUAUGUGUAACACAAAAUUUGUCCUUUUCACUCUUUAUAUGUGUAUAUUUCUUUAUAAAUGUAUAUUUCAGUGUGCUCACACUGUUGGCAAACAUCACCACUCUCCAUCUCCAAAACUUUUCAUCCUGUAAAUCUGAAACUCUAUACCAUUCAAUAAUAAUUCUCACUUCUCCCUCCUUCUCCCAGCCUCUAGCAACCACCAUACUACCUUCUGUUUCUAUGGAUUUGACUUCAUAUUAAUGAAACAUGCAACAUCCAUCUUUAGUAACUGUCUUAUUUUACUUAACUAAUGUCCUCAAGCUUCAUCCAUGUUGUAGCACGUGUCACAAUUUCCUUCCUUUUCAGGGACGAGUAAUAUUCCAUUAUAGGUCUACAACACAUUUGUGACUAUUGUAAGAAGUGCUGGUAUGAAUGUGGGUAUGCAGAUAUCUUUUCAAGUUCUUAUUUUUGGCCCCUUUAGGUAUAUACCCAAAAGUAGGACUGCUGGAUCUUAUGGCAAUUCUAUUUUAAAAUACUUGAGGAACCUCCAUACUGUUUUCCAUAGCUGCCACACCAUUUAAGCAAUGCACAAAUGUUCUAAUUCCCCCAUCCUCUGACACUUGUGAUUUUCUGUUUGUUUUAGAUAAUAGCCAUCCUAACUGGUAUGAAGUAGUAUCUUAUUACACUUUUAAAACAUUUUUUUAAAGUGAAAAUAUACAAAUGUCAUCAUGAAAUGGCACUAACCAGGCAAAUUAGCCUUAAGUUUGAACAGAGUGGAAAAUCUUGAUAAUUAUAGAAAAUCUCUGACCUUUCACUUUUGUUUCCAGGUCUAGAAACAGGAAGAAGAGAGAUG
rnacentral:lncRNA from 1 species